AGAAGAUGUGGUAAAGAGACAUCCUGGCUGUUGCUCUCCAGAGUCUUUGCCAUCCUAAAGGAGGGGUGCUAUGUGGUGGCCCAGCCUCCUGUGAACGAUGGGUUUCCUACUAGACAGGAGGAGGAGGUCAACCCCAAGGGAAGCCAUGCCACAGUGAUUCCUGAAAUGGGACCAAUCCCGGUUGGUGACCAGCCCUGAAGGUGAGACACCUGCAGAAGCUGAGGAGUGUGGCACACCUGCUGGCCCUUCCUGAUAGAGCCACAUGGGACUCAGCCUGGAGCAGCCUCUGGCUACAGCAUCCUUUCAAUGUAAGACCUGCUAAGCCCCAGGAUCCCCAGAUGCUCAGUGUACGCAUCCUUCAUGACUCUCACUGGCAAAAGAUAUGGAAAGAGACAGUCACUGAUGGAUGGAAAGGGACUGUGUGAGUGUAAACACGUAACGGGAAGUCCUGCGCCUCUCUUAAUUGCCCGACACAAUUCCCACUACGUGCAUAAACUGCAGUUCCCAUUAACAGCACCAUGAAUAAUAAUCAGUUUACUUUCUGACUCGUAUCUAAAUAUACCUUCUAUAUGAUUUCAUCUUUUAUGCAGCUGUUUAGAAGCAGAACAUCUAAUUACAGUUCCUAUUAGUCAACAUUAAUUUUUUUUCCCUUUUGCCACGGAGCAUAUGUAAUGACUGAUUUUCUAAAAACAGAAUUUUUUUAGCAUAUGGAACAAAUUGUGUUAUUAUUAAUGCAUUCCCAGAUGACUCUGCAUUUCAAUUCCCUUAAUUAUUUAGUCAUUGCUGAUUAUGUCUUUUUAACAUUCAUUAUCCCAUCUCUUGAAACACAGGCAGUUUAUUCAUUAAGUGUCAAAAUGGAAAGCUUGACCUCC
ensembl:antisense Gm16152 predicted gene 16152